rnacentral:rRNA from 1 species
UACGGGGGGUGCGAGCGUUGUCCGGAAUCACUGGGCGUAAAGGGCGCGUAGGCGGCUUUGCAAGUGACGGGUGAAAUCCCUCGGCUUAACCGAGGAACUGCCUGUCAGACUGCAUGGCUUGAGACCAGGAGAGGUGAGUGGAAUUCCCAGUGUAGCGGUGAAAUGCGUAGAUAUUGGGAGGAACACCAGUGGCGAAGGCGGCUCACUGGACUGGUACUGACGCUGAGGCGCGAAAGCGUGGGGAGCAAACAGG